UACAGAGGGUGCGAGCGUUAAUCGGAAUUACUGGGCGUAAAGCGUGCGUAGACGGUUUCGUAAGUCGGGUGUGAAAUCCCCCGGGCUCAACCUGGGAAUGCCAUUCGAGACUGCGAGGCUGGGGGUGCGGAAGAGGGAAGCGGAAUUUCCGGUGUAGCGGUGAAAUGCGUAGAUAUCGGAAGGAACAUCAGUGGCGAAAGCGGCUUCCUGGUCCAGCACCGACGUCAGGCACGAAAGCGUGGGGAGCAAACAGG
rnacentral:rRNA from 1 species